rnacentral:rRNA from 1 species
GACGAACGCUGGCGGCGUGCCUAAUACAUGCAAGUCGAGCGGACGAAUCGAAAGCUUGCUUUUGAUUCGUUAGCGGCGGACGGGUGAGUAACACGUGGGCAACCUGCCCUGUAGACGGGGAUAACACCGAGAAAUCGGUGCUAAUACCGGAUAACACGAAAUGUCGCAUGACGUUUCGUUGAAAGACGGCGCAAGCUGUCGCUACAGGAUGGGCCCGCGGCGCAUUAGCUAGUUGGUGAGGUAACGGCUCACCAAGGCGACGAUGCGUAGCCGGCCUGAGAGGGUGAUCGGCCACACUGGGACUGAGACACGGCCCAGACUCCUACGGGAGGCAGCAGUAGGGAAUCUUCCGCAAUGGACGAAAGUCUGACGGAGCAACGCCGCGUGAGCGAAGAAGGCCUUCGGGUCGUAAAGCUCUGUUGUUAGGGAAGAACAAGUAACGCAGUAACUGGCGUUACCGUGACGGUACUUAACGAGAAAGCCACGGCUAACUACGUG